rnacentral:rRNA from 1 species
ACGCUCGACACCUACGCGAGGCAGCAGUGGGGAAUAUUGCACAAUGGGGGAAACCCUGAUGCAGCGACGCCGCGUGAGCGAAGAAGUAUUUCGGUAUGUAAAGCUCUAUCAGCAGGGAAGAAACCGACGGUACCUGACUAAGAAGCACCGGCUAAAUACGUGUCAGCAGCAGCGGUAAUCUGAGCGGGCUGGCAAGGC